UAUUCAUAGUUCGUCCAAACAUUUAACAUGUUAAUUUUAAAGAAAUUAAUAUAGAAUUUAGAUCUCUCAAUUCCUUCACCUUACGAAUUUAGACAUUAGAUAUCUAAACGGAACUUUAGUUCAAUCUCUAGAAUCUCGUUCAGCGUUAUGCCCGCCUCUAAUUUUCCCUAUACUUUAUUGGAAAAAAUGACUGCUGUUUUAAAGUAAUCACACAUCAUAUUCUUUCCUAAAUCAUAGUAAUUCAUUUUGAAUUUGAAAAUUUGAUUUCUUCAGCUAGUAAGGCGAGUUUUCUCAGUCCUCGUCAUUCACUCUUUUUUUCUCUCUUUUCUUUUUCUUUUUACCGAAUCUCAGGUGAAUAUUGGUCCAUUUUUUUCUAUUUUCUUGCUUAAUUAUUGAUUUAAGCUUUUUAAUCAAUAUUUUAGUUUGUGUAAAUUGCUAUUCUUCAGAUUUUGUGGUUCCGCUGGGAUUCAUUGAAUUGUUAUUCCUUGGUAUUAUCUUUCCUAAGACAGCUUUCUGAGAGAGUUGAAAUCAUUGAAGUGCCAAAAGGCAGCUGAAUUAGGUUAACUUAGGAAAUUUUUAUCUGCUCAAAACUUUCAUCUUAUUAGCUAGAGUGUGCUGUUUAUUUGUGAAGCAACAUGAACCACCCACAUCCAUAUGGUGAAGAUCAUUUAUAAACACAGGAGGCAUCCACUGUCAU